AUUGAACGCUGGCGGCAGGCCUAACACAUGCAAGUAGAACGAGUGGCGGACGGGUUAGUAAUGUCUGGGAAACUGCCUGAUGGAGGGGGAUAACUACUGGAAACGGUAGCUAAUACCGCAUACCAUCGGAUGUGCCCAGAUGGGAUUAGCUAGUAGGGGGGGUAAAGGCUCACCUAGGCUACGAUCCCUAGCUGGUCUGAGAGGAUGACCAGCCACACUGGAACUAGGACACUGUCCAGACGCACAGGGGAGGCAGCAGUGGGGAAUAUUGCACAAUGGGUGCAAGCCUUAUGCAGCCAUGACGCGGGUAUGAAGAAGGCCGUCGGGUUGUAAAGUACGUUCAGCGGGGAGGCGGUACCCGAAGAAGAAGCACAGGCUAACUCCGUGCCAGCAGCCGCGGUAAUAG
rnacentral:rRNA from 1 species